UUACACUGCUCGUGAUGUUGAAUACUCUUCCAAGUUACACUCGCUCAAGGGCUUGUAACAAUACAAACCGGCACUUAAUUAUCCUACGAGGUUUGCGCUAUACUCAUUUACUUGACUCCGAAUAUUGGGAAAUCUGACGCUGACAUUUGUUUUGCAUGGCUGUUGAUGCUACUGGUUUGAAUGUAAAUCAUCUUUGGGCAAUUGUGUGUGUCGCAUCAAAAUUUCGAGAGAUUUUAACAAGCGCGUGGCGCCUUUUUAAUUAAAUGCCACCGUCUCUAAAAGAACUUUUAGUCCCGAUAAGCCCAGAGAUACCCGGUCUCAAUGUAGCAGGAUGUGACACGUGACCAUACUGUGAAUGGGUGUUGCCUCUCGUGUCGAGACAUACUAAAAAUAGACUCGGCUUUUGCCAGUCGUCCAAAAGCAACAGGGGACGUCUGACACAAUGAAAACCGAACAUUACCUUUUAGAAUCCUUAAUCCUGAAGCACUGAAGCGUAUGGAUAGACUUGCAGAUAGCCCUCACUUCCCCUGGGUUAGUCGAAUGGGCGGCGGCAAGUCGACGCGAGCGAGAGCUACUGGAACUGAUUUUCGCGCGUGCUUGAGUGCGCACCCAUUUUGACAUCAGUAAUCCAAAAGAUCGUGGCUAAUAUAACUUAAAACUACUUAAAAUUGAGCCGGUAACGGAACUCUCGAGAGUCGCUCGUUUCGUCAAGUUUGCACAACAAGGAACGGUGUGUCAAGUGUUACACUCAGAAAAUAAAGUCGUUUAGGAUCCUGGGAACGAGGUGCAAGAGUGCGCAAGUCAGUAACGAAACUCGUCGUCACUCGCCGUCACACAGAUGAGAACCAAUCGUCGUAUUGCAUUUUGAUCACGUGCUAGUUACUAUAAAAUCAUUGCCACAAGCCAGUUUGCACGAGGUACGAAAGAUGGCGGACGUUGUCGGAGGUUUAUGCUGUGCAUUUUGUAGUGGAGGUCUUCUAAAGGCCACAAAAAAAUCAGUGGCACUGGGAUGUUUUUUUCACCUCUUACCAAUGGUCCGUUGGAUGAGGUACAUUAGAGCAGUGAGAUGCAUUUGAAAACUGCUUCCUCUUCUGUCUGACAAUGAUACCCUUUAAAAUUAUACAACAAAUGCAGUUCAGCAACUUCUGUGCCUUGGCUGUACUACAGACAGAGCUUCAAGGGUUACUGAAGAAUGCACAGUGAGACACACAAUGUGCAUUGAUUGUUGAGGAAAAGCUAAGAAAUUAACUUCAACCAAGAUGGGUUCUGAUGUAUGCAUGUGGGCAAAAGGCUAUUCAAAAGAAGCAAAAUAGCUGGCAUGAACUUGAAAGCUCAGGAAAUGUAAGUUGAGUUUUCCAUUUCAAUGGGAACGAACAUGAAAUAUGUGAUGGACAAAUAUUGCGGCCAAUAUUAUAUUUAAAGUUGAAGAUAAAAUAAAGAUUGAUUAACUUCACUUCUCGAUAACAUUUAUUGGGUGGUUGCGUUAACAGAAAAUUGAAGUA